rnacentral:rRNA from 1 species
UCCGUAGGUGAACCUGCGGAAGGAUCAUUACCGAGUUGAUUCGAGCUCCGGCUCGACUCUCCCACCCUUUGUGUACCUACCUCUGUUGCUUUGGCGGGCCCGCGGUCGGCCUCGUGCCGUCCAGCACCCGCCAGAGGACCACAAAACUCCAGUCAGUAAACGUCUCAGUCUGAAAAACAAGUUAAUAAACUAAAACUUUCAACAACGGAUCUCUUGGUUCUGGCAUCGAUGAAGAACGCAGCGAAAUGCGAUAAGUAAUGUGAAUUGCAGAAUUCAGUGAAUCAUCGAAUCUUUGAACGCACAUUGCGCCCCUUGGUAUUCCGGGGGGCAUGCCUGUUCGAGCGUCAUUUCAACCCUCAAGCUCUGCUUGGUAUUGGGCUCCGUCCUCAGGGACGCGCCUCAAAGACCUCGGCGGUGGCGUCUUGCCUCAAGCGUAGUAGAAAACACCUCGCUUUGGAGCGCAUGGCGUCGCCCGCCGGACGAACCUUUGAAUUUUUCUCAAGGUUGACCUCGGAUCAGGUAGGGAUACCCGCUGAACUUAAGCAUAUCAAUAAGCGGAGGA